rnacentral:rRNA from 1 species
UGUGAAAUUGUUGAAAGGGAAGGAUAUGCCGCUAACAAUGUAGAGCCGUGUUUGGGGGGAAGACAAAAGCUGAAGAAUGUAUCUCUUUUAGGGAAUUAUAACUUCAGUCAAUAUUCCCAUCCGGGCGCGAGGACCUCAGGCUCUACUAAAUGGUGGUCUAUCACCCGUCUUGAAACACGGACCAAGGAGU